CACACACACACGCACACACACAAACAAAGAGGCGUUAGGCUGAGACGCUGAAAGUCCGGAUUUAAAGUGCAGAAAAUGAAGCCAUUGAAUCUGCCUGUCCAUGACGUACAAAGACACACUAUGAGCCAGUAUGAUCCGACCAGACCUUACAUCAGCAUUGAGGAGUUGUCGGAGAAGAAAGAGGCUGAUUGAAGCGGGACAGAUGACAUGGAUCCAUCCUUCCACAGCCAGGAGUGCACCGACCUGUGUCCCACACUUCAUAUAAGACUGGAAGCUACACUGAUCUCACAGCUACACACCACAGACGUCUACACACUGGAGAAGAGUCCCACAAAGAAGUCAUGACCCAGAGGCUGCAGAGAAACAUUUCAAGCCUCAUCUGAGUUUUUGUACAAUAUUUUUGCUGUAUGUAAAUAAAGCUUUCACUCCACAUA